rnacentral:rRNA from 1 species
UAAGCAUAUCAAUAAGCGGAGGAAAAGAAACCAACAGGGAUUGCCUUAGUAACUGCGAGUGAAGCGGCAAGAGCUCAAAUUUGAAAUCUGGCACCUUCGGUGUCCGAGUUGUAAUUUGUAGAAGCAUCUUUUGGAUUGGUCCUUGCAUAUGUUCCUUGGAACAGGACAUCAUAGAGGGUGAGAAUCCCGUUCAUGGUGGGGAAUCCAAUUCUUUGUAAAGUGCUUUCGAAGAGUCGAGUUGUUUGGGAAUGCAGCUCUAAGUGGGUGGUAAAUUCCAUCUAAAGCUAAAUAUUGGCGAGAGACCGAUAGCGAACAAGUACAGUGAUGGAAAGAUGAAAAGAACUCCGAAAGGAGAGUGAAAAAGGACGUGAAAUUGUUGAAAGGGAAGUGCUUGAGAUCAGUCUUAAGGUUUAGUGAUCAGUCUUCCUUUUGGUUGGUGCACUCACUAUUUCUUAGGCCAACAUCAGUUUUCGCGGCAGGAUAAUGACAUUGGAAUGUGGCUCUUUCGGGAGUGUUAUAGCCUUUGUUGAUACUGCCUGCUUAGACUGAGGACCGCGCUUUUGCUAGGAUGUUGGCAUAAUGAUCUUAAGCAGCCCGUU